GCCUUCGUGGUGUAAUGGUAGCACACUAGGCUAGUAUUCGAGAGGUCCAGGUUGGAGUCCUGGUGAGGGCA
rnacentral:tRNA from 1 species